AUGUCCCUCCGUGUCACCCGCGUGUCCCGUGUUUGUUUUUGUGUCCUCCUGUCCCUCCCCUGUCCCCGGCGGUGCCACCCCCGCGCCCUCCUCUCUGUCCCGCUGUCCCCUCUCUGUCCCCUCCUCUCCUCCCUGUCCCCACGCCCCUGUCCCUCCCUGUCCCCAAAUUCCGAUGUUACCCGCGUGUCCCCAAAUUCCGAUGUGGCUCCGUGUCACCCUCGUGUCCCGUGUUUGUGUCCCUCCUGUCCCUCCCUGUCCCCAAAUACCGAUGUCCCUCCGUGUCACCCUCCUGUCCCCUCCCCUGUCCCCUCCCUGUCCCUCCCUGUCCCCAAAUUCCGAUGUCCCUCCGUGUCACCCUCCUGUCCCCUCCCUGUCCCCGGCGGUGCCACCUCUGUCCCCACCCCUGUCCCCAAAUUCCGAUUCACCCGCGUGUCACCCGCGUGUCCCGUGUUUGUUUGUGUCCUCCUGUCCCUCCCCUGUCCCUCCCGGUCCCCGCAUUCCGAUGUCACCCGCGUGUCACCCGCGUGUCCCCAAAUUCCGAUGUGGCUCCGUGUCACCCGCGUGUCCCGUGUUUGUUUUUGUGUCCCUCCUGUCCCCUCCCCUGUCCCCGCCUGUCCCCAGCGGUGCCACCCCUGUCCCUCCCUGUCCCCAAAUUCCGAUGUCCCUUCGUGUCACCCUCGCGUCCCGUGUUUGUGUCCCCUCCUCUGUCCCCUCCCUGUCCCUCCCUGUCCCCAAAUUCCGAUGUCACCCCCGUGGCACCCCCGUGGCACCCUCGUGUCCCGUGUUUGUUUGUGUCCCUCCUGUCCCCUCCCCUGUCCCCGCCUGUCCCCGGCGGUGCCAGCCCCGCGCCCUCCCCUCUGUCCCGCUGUCCCCUCUCUGUGUCCCCUCUCUCUGUCCCCUCUCUGCCCCCCUGUCCCCGAUGUCGCCUCCCGCCGCGUCCCGCGGUCCUUUGGCCGCUUUGGCCGCCGCCACGUCGUGUCCGCGCUGCGGGGCCGCGCUGCGGGACCCGGUGCUGCUGCCGUGCGAGCACCGCUGCUGCCGCCGCUGCCUCCUGCCCCCGCUGUCCCCAACAGUGUCCCCAAUGUCCCCCGGGCUGUCCCCGGUGUCCCCAGCGUCCCCCCCGGGCUGGCCCCGCUGUCCCCAGUGUCGCCGUCCCUGCGCCCCGGGCCGCGUCCGCACCGCGGUGGCGCUGGCGGUGGAGGCGCGGAUCGCGCGGAGGCUGGCGGGGGACACGGGAGGGGACACGGGAGGGGACAGCGGGGACAGGACAGGGGACAGCACCGGGACACCGCGGGGACGCCGCAGGACCGGCAGGACCAGGUGACAUUUGGGGAUUUUUGGAGUUUUUUUGGGAUUUUUGGGGGUUUUGGGGACAUGGGGACAGCGGGGACACGGCGGGGGACACGGGAGGGGACACGGGAGGGGACACCGGGGACACCGGGGACAGCACCGGGGACAGCACCGGGACAGCGCGGGGACGCCGCGGGACCGGCAGGACCAGGUGAGAUUUGGGGUUUUUGGAGUUUUUUGGGGAUUUUUUGGGGGUUUCUGGGAGAGAUUUGGGGUUUUGGGGAAAUGGGGACAUCGCUGGGACGGCAGGACCAGGUGAGAUUUGGGUUUUUUUUGGGGAUUUUUGGGGGUUUUGGGGACAUCGGGGACAUCACUGGUACGGCAGGACCAGGUGAGAUUUGGGGAUUUUGGAGGUUUUAUGGGAUUUUUUGGGGGUUUCUGGGGGAGAUUUGGGGUUUUGGGGACAUCGGGGACAUCGCUGGGACGCAGGACCAGGUGAGAUUUGGGGGGUUUGGGUUUUUUUGGGGGGAGAUUUGGGGUUUUUUGGGUGGUUUGGGGGUUUGGGGACAUGGGGACAGCGCGGGGCUGGAAGGACCAGGUGAGAUUUGGGGGUUUUGGGGGAGAAUUUGGGGGUUUUUGGAGAGAUUUUGGGUUUUUUGGGGAGAUUUUGGGUCUCUUUGGGGGACAUUUGGGGUUUCUGGAGGGAGUUUUGGGGGGGAUUCGGAAUUUUUGGGGGGGAAAUUUGGGGCCGUGGGAGGGAGGAUUUGGGGGGAAUUUUUGGGAGGAAUUUGGGAGAUUUUUGGGAGGAAUUUUGAGGAUUUUGGGACGACGUGGGAGAUUUUGGGGGGGGGGAAUUUGGGGGAUUUUUGGGAGGAAUUUGGGCACUUUUGUGCCCCACACGAAUCCAGGGGUGGGGGAGGGGAAAUUUUGGGAUUCCCGCCCCUCCCCCCACCCCUCCCCUCACGUGCCGGUUCCUCCCGCCCCUCCCCCACCCCCGCAGGUGCCCCCGCCCCUCCCCCACCCGGCCGGGUGACAUUUUUGGGGGUUUUGUGA
ensembl:lncRNA